rnacentral:rRNA from 1 species
ACUCCUACGGGAGGCAGCAGUGGGGAAUAUUGGACAAUGGGCGCAAGCCUGAUCCAGCCAUGCCGCGUGAGUGAUGAAGGCCCUAGGGUUGUAAAGCUCUUUCACCGGUGAAGAUAAUGACGGUAACCGGAGAAGAAGCCCCGGCUAACUUCGUGCCAGCAGCCGCGGUAAUACGAAGGGGGCUAGCGUUGUUCGGAUUUACUGGGCGUAAAGCGCACGUAGGCGGACUAUUAAGUCAGGGGUGAAAUCCCGGGGCUCAACCCCGGAACUGCCUUUGAUACUGGUAGUCUUGAGUUCGAGAGAGGUGAGUGGAAUUCCGAGUGUAGAGGUGAAAUUCGUAGAUAUUCGGAGGAACACCAGUGGCGAAGGCGGCUCACUGGCUCGAUACUGACGCUGAGGUGCGAAAGCGUGGGGAGCAAACAGGAUUAGAAACCCCGGUAGUCCCAU